UACGUAGGGGCAAGCGUUGUCCGGAAUCAUUGGGUCGUAAAGAGCGUGUAGGCGGCCUGGUAAGUCCGCUGUGAAAGUCCAGGGCUCAACCCUGGAAUGCCGGUGGAAACUGUCAGGCUCGAGUCCGGAAGAGGCGAGUGGAAUCCUGGUGUAGCGGUGAAAUGCGCAGAUAUCAGGAGGAACACCAAUGGCGAAGGCAGCUCGCUGGGACGGUACUGACGCUGAGACGCGAAAGCGUGGGGAGCAAACAGG
rnacentral:rRNA from 1 species